GUGUUCACUUCAGCAGUACAUAUACUGAAGUUGGACCGAUCACAGAAGAUUGGCAUGCCCCUGUGUAGGGAUGACAUACAGAGUCACAAAGCAUUCCAUGUUUAA
ensembl:snRNA U6 U6 spliceosomal RNA